GACGAACGCUGGCGGCGUGCCUAAUACAUGCAAGUAGGACGCAGUUGCGAACGGGUGAGCAACGUGUAGGUAACUACCUAUUAGAGGGGGAUAACCAUUGGAAACGAUAGCUAAUACCGCAUACUAGUAGAUGGACCUGCGUUGUAUUGGCUAGUAGGUAGGGUAAUGGCCUACCUAGGCAACGAUACAUAGCCGACCUGAGAGGGUGAUCGGCCACACUGGGACUGAGACACGUCCCAGACGCCGACAGGAGGCAGCAGUAGGGAAUCUUCGGGAAUGGGGGGAACCCUGACCGAGCAGCUCCGCGUGAGUGAGGAAGGUUUUCGGGUCGUGAAGCUCUGUUGUUAAGGAAGCGGUACUUGACCAGAAAGGAACGGCUAACUACGUGCCAGCAGCCGCGGUAAUUC
rnacentral:rRNA from 1 species